UACGUAGGGGCCGAGCGUUGUCCGGAGUUACUGGGCGUAAAGCGCGCGCAGGCGGCCAUCUAAGCCCGGCGUGAAAGCCCCCGGCUCAACCGGGGAGGGUCGUCGGGGACUGGGUGGCUUGAGGACGGCAGGGGCUGGUGGAAUCCCCGGUGUAGUGGUGAAAUGCGUAGAGAUCGGGGGGAACACCCGUGGCGAAGGCGGCCAGCUGGGCCGUUCCUGACGCUGAGAGACGAAAGCUAGGGGAGCAAAUGGG
rnacentral:rRNA from 1 species